CGGUCACGUUCGUUGCUUUAAGAGCCUAAUCGCAUGAGUUAAUGCAUAAGGAACAAAGACGCGCGCUACUCAAAUGCUAUGAGCAAAUGAGAGGGGUCAAGUCUAUGCUAAAACUUAACAACAUGCAUUUAUGAAUAUAGGCCCUUAGUGAAACGCAAUUAAGCAGACAGAUCACUCCACGAACUAAGAACGGCCAUGCACCACCUAUCACAUAAUCAUGAAAGGACUAGCAUCUUUAACAGAGCAUGCGCGUAGAACUGUUAAUUAAAACAGAAUCCCACUGCAGCUCAUAACGCCAGUCAAUCCUCAGUGUGUCCGGACCCGGUAAGAUUUCCCGCGUUGGGUCAAAUUAAGCCACAUGCUCCACGCGUUCUUGUGGUGCCCUUCCGUCAAUUCCUU
rnacentral:rRNA from 1 species